CUUAGUUAUUUUUAGAAUGUUUAGACCAUUGCAAAUCUGUCCAGUAGAAAUAUAUCUACUUUUGCUGGUCUUUCUUUCCUUCUCUCCCUUCCUUCCUUUCUUCCUUCCUUUACUCCCUUUCUUUCUUUUCUCCUCCCUCUCUUUUCCUUUCUCUUUCAUUCCUUUCUUAAUUACUAUAUUUUCUAAAAUAAGCAUGUAUUGCUUACGUAGUCAGGAAAAAACCUACAUUAUUUUAAAUUUGAAGCAUUUGCUUUUCCUUAAUUUUUCAGCCAUUUUUUUCUUUAUCAGUUGGAGAGAUUGAAGGGAUAUUUUUAAAGCUUAAAUCUGAAGAUUCAUAUAAAUACAUCAUAACAGAUGAAUUAAAUGUUGGAAACUGAGAGAAGCUGUGACUGAUUCAGCCUGCUGAAGCAACUACAGGGAUCUAUAACAACGGG
rnacentral:lncRNA from 10 species